AAAUUGAAGAGUUUGAUCAUGGCUCAGAUUGAACGCUGGCGGCAGGCCUAACACAUGCAAGUCGAACGGUAACAGGAAGCAGCUUGCUGCUUCGCUGACGAGUGGCGGACGGGUGAGUAAU
rnacentral:rRNA from 4 species